AUGCAAGUCGAACGGCAGCACGAGAGAGCUUGCUCUCUUGGUGGCGAGUGGCGGACGGGUGAGUAAUAUAUCGGAACGUGCCCAGUAGCGGGGGAUAACUACUCGAAAGAGUGGCUAAUACCGCAUACGCCCUACGGGGGAAAGGGGGGGAUCGCAAGACCUCUCACUAUUGGAGCGGCCGAUAUCGGAUUAGCUAGUUGGUGGGGUAAAGGCUCACCAAGGCAACGAUCCGUAGCUGGUUUGAGAGGACGACCAGCCACACUGGGACUGAGACACGGCCCAGACUCCUACGGGAGGCAGCAGUGGGGAAUUUUGGACAAUGGGGGAAACCCUGAUCCAGCCAUCCCGCGUGUAUGAUGAAGGCCUUCGGGUUGUAAAGUACUUUUGGCAGAGAAGAAAAGGUACCUCCUAAUACGAGGUACUGCUGACGGUAUCUGCAGAAUAAGCACCGGCUAACUACGUGCCAGCAGCCGCGGUAAUACGUAGGGUGCAAGCGUUAAUCGGAAUUACUGGGCGUAAAGCGUGUGUAGGCGGUUCGGAAAGAAAGAUGUGAAAUCCCAGGGCUCAACCUUGGAACUGCAUUUUUAACUGCCGAGCUAGAGUAUGUCAGAGGGGGGUAGAAUUCCACGUGUAGCAGUGAAAUGCGUAGAUAUGUGGAGGAAUACCGAUGGCGAAGGCAGCCCCCUGGGAUAAUACUGACGCUCAGACACGAAAGCGUGG
rnacentral:rRNA from 1 species